CGCCACAGCCAUAUCACCCUGCAGCACAAGACCAGUCACUCACUAAAGCUAAGCAGGGCUGAGUCUGGUCAGUACCUGGAUGGGAGACCACAUUGGAAUAGUAGGUUGCUGUUGGAA
rnacentral:rRNA from 1 species